GUUGAAACACCAGUUCCCGUAUGAUCACUUAAACUAAGCAACAUCAAGCCUGGUCAGUACCUAGAUGGGUGACCACUUAGGAAUAUCAUGUGUGGUAAG